AAGAGGGAACCCGGUGGGAAUCCGGGACUGCCCCGCAGCGGUGAGCGGGAACGACCGCCGUCUUGAUGCACUGGGUCCGGCCGGGCCUGGGAAGCGACGGCCACUAGGUCUCUGCCCCUGGCAGAGGUGCCCGCGAGUCCGAAGACCU
rnacentral:ncRNA from 2 species